AUUGAACGCUGGCGGCAUGCUUUACACAUGCAAGUCGAACGGUAACAGGCCUUCGGGCGCUGACGAGUGGCGAACGGGUGAGUAAUGCAUCGGAACGUGCCCAGUCGUGGGGGAUUACGCAGCGAAAGCUGUGCUAAUACCGCAUACGAUCUAUGGAUGAAAGCGGGGGACCGUAAGGCCUCGCGCGAUUGGAGCGGCCGAUGUCAGAUUAGGUAGUUGGUGGGGUAAAGGCUCACCAAGCCAACGAUCUGUAGCUGGUCUGAGAGGAUGACCAGCCACACUGGAACUGAGACACGGUCCAGACUCCUACGGGAGGCAGCAGUGGGGAAUUUUGGACAAUGGGCGCAAGCCUGAUCCAGCAACGCCGCGUGCAGGAAGAAGGCCUUCGGGUUGUAAACUGCUUUUGUACGGAACGAAACGGCGAGCUCUAAUACAGUUUGCUAAUGACGGUACCGUAAGAAUAAGCACCGGCUAACUACGUGCCAGCCGCCGCCGUAACAC
rnacentral:rRNA from 1 species